rnacentral:rRNA from 1 species
CAGCCGCCGCGGGAAUACGGAGGGUGCAAGCGUUAUCCGGAUUUAUUGGGUUUAAAGGGUCCGUAGGCGGACUUAUAAGUCAGUGGUGAAAGCCUGUCGCUUAACGAUAGAACUGCCAUUGAUACUGUAAGUCUUGAGUAUAUUUGAGGUAGCUGGAAUAAGUAGUGUAGCGGUGAAAUGCAUAGAUAUUACUUAGAACACCAAUUGCGAAGGCAGGUUACCAAGAUAUAACUGACGCUGAGGGACGAAAGCGUGGGUAGCGAACAGGAUUAGAUACCCGUGUAGUCCCUGUCUCUUAUAC